UGGUGGCGAUAGCGAAGAGGUCACACCCGUUCCCAUGCCGAACACGGAAGUUAAGCUCUUCAGCGCCGAUGGUAGUCGGGGGUUUCCCCCUGUGAGAGUAGGACGCCGCCAAGC
rnacentral:rRNA from 4 species